GAUAAACGCUGGCGGCGUGCCUUACGCAUGCAAGUCGCACGGACCUUCGGGUCAGUGGCGGACGGGUGAGUAACACGUACGUGAUCUGUCCCAAACUGGGGGAUAACCGCCCGAAAGGGUGGCUAAUACCGCAUGUGGUCCCCGGGUUGCGGCCCGGGGGAGUAAAGCUUCGGCGGUUUGGGAGGAGCGUGCGGUCGAUUAGCUAGUUGGUGGGGUAACGGCCUACCAAGGCUGCGAUCGAUAGCUGGUCNGAGAGGAC
rnacentral:rRNA from 1 species